GGAAUUCUGAGCUCUCCACUGGUUUCUCCCAAAGGUGGCUCUAGGGUAUGAACUCCAGGCCCUUCUCCCAAAGUACUCUCCAGAAGAAUGGCUACUUCUAUCACCAUGGAGGCUUUGCUGUCAUUGCCAAAAGCAUUUGGACCACUCAGAACUUGCUUUUGAAAAAUUUAUGAGAACCAUCAAAAUGCAUAGGAGGUGCAUCCUUGCAUUGCAGAAUGAAUACAGUUCCGGUGAGCCAGUCCUUCAGAGAUGCUUCUACUCCUUCUGUGGUUCCCAGAGAAAAGGAAGGACUUCUCCACCAUGACCCAGAACCUCAUUAUUGGAAAAGGCUCAUCAUUCUGCAACAGCCUAUCAGCCUUGGUACUCUACCUCAUCCUGACAUACUGUCCAUCUGAUUGGAGGGUAGACCCGGGAUCUCUAAAACGUCCAUUUAAGAGAGAUCAAGCUCUGAGACUUUCUGAAGAGGAUCAUCCUUCCUCACGAAGUCAAGAAGGAAUUAUAUACUGGAUGUUCAUGGCCACUCCUUAAGAAGUUCUCCUGACAAAAUUAAGAUGACAGUAACUUUUUCCUUUCAUUUCCCAGAUUUCUUUAUCAACUUCUAAGACAUAACUAUUGUGUUAUAAAUUACUUUUGCAAUUAUUUACUCAUCUGCUCUUUGUCUUUUCCAUUUAGUUUUUACAUUUUAAAUUUUAUUUAUAUUUCCAUUUAUUGUUCUUUUUUUGCUUAACAGAUUGAAUUUCUUCUCAAGAAGAAUGACUUUUAUGGUUGCAGUAAGAUAUGACAUAUGUUUUACAACUUAAUUGUCUUUGACUCAUGCAUCUACACUGAAGUUACCUCUUUCAACAAAACCAGUGAAGGGCAAACUCCAGCAGGUGGAGAGGCUGGAUUUGGGCUCACUCAGAUGAAACAAGCAGAGUUUGGAAAUGCAUCACACCUUCAUCUGACUGAGCAGCCAGAACAACUUGUGAAUUUGGAUAAGAAGGGCCCAAUCAUAUUCUCUGUGGUUAAUUCAAGUUUUGCUGUCUGUGCCCUUUAUAUAUGUCUCUGUGUUCUCUGUUGUUUCACUUUCUCAUAGUAGCUUUUUGCAGCAGCAUCAUAUGUCUGCUUCCUUGUUUAAAAACAGCAAUGUGAUUUUAUAUUUGCAAAGUGCUUUCUAUAUCUUCUUGUACUUGAUUCUCAUGAGUCAUGUAAAGCAGAUGUUUUUCUCCUCCUCUUACAGUUGAAACAAUUGAGGCUCAGAGAGGGUUAGUGAUUUGCCCAAGGUCAAACAGCUAGGAAGUAACAGAAGAUAAUUUCAAAGCUGAGAUUUCUGACUGAUUUCUAGACUCUUUCUACUAUCUUUCACUUCCAUUCUGAAAAACAAACGCAAAAUCGACAAUCAACAAGUAUCAAGCAGCAGACAUUGUUCUAGGUGCUGAGGAUAGUAAUAUAAAAGUGGGACAGUAUCUUCCUUUGAGGAGUUUACAUUUUAUAAGGGGAAUCUAGGGGCAGCUAGGUGGCAUAGUAGAUAGAGUGCCAGAUCUAGAGUUGAGAAGUCUUGAGGUCAAAUCCAACUUUAGACACUUAAUAUAGCUUUUUGAUCCUGGACAAGUCAAUUAUCCCUAUUUGCCUCAGUUUUCUCAUCUGCUAAAUGAGCUGUAGAAAGAAAUGGCAGACUACUCCAGUAUUUUUGCCAAGAAAACCCCCAAAUGGGUCACAGAGAAUUGGACAGGACUGAAACAACUGAACAACCACAAAAGAGGAAGGUGACAUUUUCACAGACAAGUACAUGCAACAUAUAUUAGAUAUAAAUAAAUAUAUAGAGAUAAGGAUGGGGUUGGCAUUAACACCUGGGGAAAUCAGAAAGUAGCUUUUGAAGAAGGUGAUUCUUAAGCUAAGCCAAGAUGGCAGCCAGUGGUUCCAAGGGUUGGAGGUGAUGAAGUAAUGCUUUACAGAAUUUCUCCAUUAACAAAAGCAUUGCUCUCUAACUCCAGAAGCAACAUGGAAUAGUUGAUAGAAUAACAAGAGUGUGGGAAAGAAAGAGGAGGAAGAAUGUGAUUCAUGCCAUACUUCUGACACCUUAGCUGUAUGACCCUAGGAAAGUCACUUAAAUUUAAUGUGCCUCAGGAAACGCCCUAAGACUUCUGUACUAAGCAAUAGCCUCUUGAGAUCUGGUUACUGCAGGAAAGUGGCAUAAAUCACUGAAAUUUCCAAUUCAGAUCCUCCUGAGAAAUAUGUCUCUCUCUCU